rnacentral:rRNA from 1 species
UACGUAGGGGGCAAGCGUUGUCCGGAAUCAUUGGGCGUAAAGCGCGUGUAGGCGGCUCGGUAAGUCCGCUCUGAAAGCCCGGGGCUCAACCCCGGGAGGCGGGUGGAUACUGCUGAGCUCGAGUCCGGAAGAGGAGUGUGGAAUUCCUGGUGUAGCGGUGAAAUGCGCAGAUAUCGGGAGGAACACCGGUGGCGAAGGCGGUUCUCUGGGCCUGUGCUGCGCUGAGGAGCGAAAGCGUGGGGAGCGAACAGG